rnacentral:rRNA from 1 species
UCUUUAGUUUUUAAUUUAAGAUCGGGCCUGCCCAUUGAUUUAUUUAUUAAAAGGCUGCGGUAUUUUAACUGUACGAAGGUAGCAUAAUCACUUGUCUUUUAAUUGGAGGCUAGAAUGAAUGGUUUGAUGAAAAAUAAGCUUUCUUUUUUCAAUUUUAAUUGAAUUUAAUUUUUUAGUUAAAAAGCUAAAAUUUUUUUAUAGGACGAGAAGACCCUGUAGAAGUUUACUUAAUUUAUAAUCUUUCUUUUUAUGUUUUUAAAAUGAUUUAUUAUAUGUUUAAGUUGUGUUGGGGUGACAUUAAAAUUAGUUUAACUUUUAAUUAUUUUUUUCAUUAAUUAUUGUUUUUUUUGAUCCAGAAUUUUUGAUUAUAAGUUUAACUUACCUCAGGGAUAACAGCGUAAUUUUUUCGGAGAGAUCAUAUU